UACGUAGGGUCCGAGCGUUGUCCGGAAUUAUUGGGCGUAAAGAGCUCGUAGGCGGUUUGUCGCGUCUGCUGUGAAAUCCCGAGGCUCAACCUCGGGCCUGCAGUGGGUACGGGCAGACUAGAGUUCGGCAGGGGAGACUGGAAUUCCUGGUGUAGCGGUGAAAUGCGCAGAUAUCAGGAGGAACACCGGUGGCGAAGGCGGGUCUCUGGGCCGAUACUGACGCUGAGGAGCGAAAGCGUGGGGAGCGAACAGG
rnacentral:rRNA from 1 species